rnacentral:rRNA from 1 species
GAUGAACGCUGACAGAAUGCUUAACACAUCAGCAAUUCAUUGAUGGCGGACGGGUUAUUACCGCGUAAAGAACUUCCCUCACAUCUAGGGACAACAUGUGGAAACGAAUGCUAAUACAUAAUACUGUGGGAGAGCUUUGCGUCCCAUUAGGUAGUUGGAGAGGUAACGUCUCACCAAGGCGGGGAUGGGUAGCCGGCCUGAGAGGGUGAUCGGGCACAAGGGGACUGAGACACGGGCAUUACUGCUACGGGGGGAAUGAGUGAGGAACAGUUGGAAAUGGGCCAAAGUGUGAUCCAGCUAUUCGGUUUGCACGAUGAAGUUUUAGGGAUGUAAAGUGCUUUUAGUUAGGGAGCGGUACCAACAGAAGAAGUGACGGCUAAAUACGUGCCAGCAGCCGCGGUAAUAC